rnacentral:tRNA from 1 species
GAUUUUUUGGCAGAAUACCAUGCAUUAAGCUUAGAACUUAAAGAUAAGAUUUAAUUCUUAAAAAUUA